AGAGUUUGAUCCUGGCUCAGGAUGAACGCUAGCUACAGGCUUAACACAUGCAAGUCGAGGGGAAACGGCAUUUAGUGCUUGCACCGAAUGGACGUCGACCGGCGCACGGGUGAGUAACGCGUAUCCAACCUACCCAUUACUGUGGGAUAACCUGCCGAAAGGCAGACUAAUACCGCAUAGUCUUCGAUGACGGCAUCAGAUUUGAAGUAAAGAUUUAUCGGUAAUGGAUGGGGAUGCGUCUGAUUAGCUUGUUGGCGGGGUAACGGCCCACCAAGGCAACGAUCAGUAGGGGUUCUGAGAGGAAGGUCCCCCACAUUGGAACUGAGAUACGGUCCAAACUCCUACGGGAGGCAGCAGAAGGG
rnacentral:rRNA from 1 species